AAGAAACUAACUAGGAUUCCCUUAGUAGCUGCGAGCGAAUAGGGAAAAGCCCAGCACCGAAUCUCGCGGUCGACACCGAUCGCCGAGAAAUGUGGUGUUAGGGAGGAUCCGUUUAUCUCGAGGUGCAGCGGUGCGUCCAAGUCCUUCUUGAACGGGGCCACAGCCCAUAGAGGGUGCCAGGCCCGUAGUGACUGCCGCUCGUCGCGAGAGGAUCUCUCCUCAGAGUCGGGUUGCUUGAGAGUGCAGCCCYAAGUGGGUGGUAAACUCCAUCUAAGGCUAAAUAUGACCACGAGACCGAUAGCGAACAAGUACCGUGAGGGAAAGUUGAAAAGCACUUUGAAGAGAGAGUUCAAGAGUACGUGAAACCGUUUAGGGGUAAACCUGAGAAACCCGAAAGGUCGAAGGGAGAAAUUCAUUCGCGUUUCGGCUGGUGGCGUAUGAUGUUUGUGCGACGAACCGUCCUCGGACGGAGCGAGCCCUACGUUUGUCGAACCAUCGUCGAACGCGUGCACUUUUCUCCUGGUAGGACGUCGCGAUCCGUUGGGCGUCGGUUUAAGGCCCGUGGAGGAGCUCUAGAGUGCCUUGUGCACUUUGGAACCCAUGGUGUUCCCGACCGACACGCUCGACGGUACAACUAUGGCGCGAAGCCGCUACUCGUUAGCGUUCGACCCGUGGCAAGCGCGCCGGAUGUGCUGGCGAUCGGACCUAGUGCCGGUUCUGGCCUCCGGUGACUGUUGGCUGCGGUGUUCUCGAACAGACUUCGCAACGCCGAUCUGCGACGCUUUAGCUUUGGG
rnacentral:rRNA from 1 species